rnacentral:rRNA from 1 species
AUUGAACGCUGGCGGCAGGCCUAACACAUGCAAGUCGAGCGAGCGGCGGACGGGUGAGUAAUGUCUGGGAAACUGCCUGAUGGAGGGGGAUAACUACUGGAACCGGUAGCUAAUACCGCAUACCAUCAGAUGUGCCCAGAUGGGAUUAGCUAGUAGGUGGGGUAACGGCUCACCUAGGCGACGAUCCCUAGCUGGUCUGAGAGGAUUACCAGCCACACUGGAACGUAGACACGGGCCAGACUCCUACGGUAGGCAGCAUGGGGGAAUAUUGCACAAGGGGAGCAAGCCUGAUGCAGCCAUGCCGCGUGUGUGAAGAAGGCCUUCGGGUUGUAAAGCACUUUCAGCGGGGAGGCGUUACCCGCAGAAGAAGCACCGGCUAACUCCGUGCCAGCAGCCGCGGUAAUAC